CAUGGAACGAAGGAGUGGUGCCUUCCUGGGGCUGGUAAAAAGGAACCAGAUCAACUACAACUGGAUUUGGUCCCCUUCAACCAGCUGCAGUGGGGCACGAGGUGACACGAGAUGACA
rnacentral:pre_miRNA from 7 species